GGUAAUUUCCACUUCCUCUGGCCU
rnacentral:siRNA from 1 species